rnacentral:lncRNA from 10 species
CAAUAAUUUGUGGCCCUACUGUGUUUGUUCACUAACUCCUUCGAACCUGCCAUAUAAGUUAUAUCUUUACUUUCCUUGUAAUUUGGGAGGUCCAAUUCUUCAUUAAGCUCACAUGCCUGAAACUAAUGAAGAAAAUAGCUCGUUAACCAGCUAGUAUAAAAGUAGCCACCAAAUCAACUCAAUCACCUGCCUUAAAUCAGCCCAGUACCCCAUCUUGAGCGGAGAAGCCCAUUCUGAAUCACAGUCAAGACAUUGAUGGAAAAACAGCUCCCUCUGGGGAUCAAAACCACGCUAGCCCCAAAUCCUCCUCCCCAGAGUUUUCCUCAUUGCUCACCCACUGAACCCAAAACAAACCAGAAGUGCUUAAAAUGAGGACGGGUAGCUCCGUGUACCAAUCAGAAUUUAAAACUGUAUCAAUUCCUGCUAUAGAAAGAGGCUUCUCCCCAGGACCAGGAUUCCACGAAGGCAGCCCUUUUCUAGAUGGAGAAAAUAGAACCUGAAGGCAGCCGUUUCCCUAAACUGCUCUCGCUCAUGUCUCUCAGAGAAAGGAAAUGAAGCAGUGAAAGCAUCCUCCCAAAAGGGACUUUUAAAUCCUUCUACCUGGGCUGAACUACAGAGAAAAGGAAGCUAUUCUCACAGAAAGAUCUAUGGGAUCACAGAGUGGAGGGGACCUGAGCCCCAUGUCAUGGGACAAGCCCUGGGAAGAUGGCACCAUUCCCAAGACACAUGAGUUCUAUCGUUUGCCACCAUUUCCACUGCCUGGACCAAAGUAGAUGCUCAAAGAGUAUUCCCCGAGUGAAAGGAGGAAUACAGCAUCGGCCCUCUCAAAGAACUCUCCAGGAAGACUUUCCUUCAUCAGCAGCAGGGAAAGCUAAUGAGGGUCAUAUCAUCCUGCCUCCCAGGUGAGGUCUGAGAUGUCUGCACUGUGCACCUCCGCAGGCACGUGGUGGGUACCACCGGCUUGGCUUUGCAGAGAUACCAUGUGCCCCAGGGAGAAUCUGGGCAGUGAAGUCAGCUCUCUGUCUUAGGGAGUCUCUCCCAGAAGGGCUGUUGUGCCAGGGGGAUUGGACUCUGCCGGCUUUGUUUCCUGCUUAGGACCACCAAGCUCGUGGUACCCCCAGGACUCUUGGAAUCCUGUCUAGGCAGCUUGGAGGGCUGUCUACGUGGCUUCUUGGACCUGAACCCUAACUGGACCUGUGCAUGGUUUUGCAGCCCAGAUGUGAAACAGGGAUCAUCCCACCUCACCAGCAAUCCCCCUUGUUUUAAACUGCAGUUAAUAACUGGCUGGGCUGAGGGAGCCCCCUUUAUCAUAGUUUACGUGCAGCCUACCCCCUGGAAUCUGAUAAGGUCUUUGGGUGCUGGCAGUACCAAUUUUUAUCCAUUAUUUUUUCUAUUACGGAUAAUUCCUUUCCACACUGGAGUCACCCAGAGGUUGGCUUGAGCCCAGCCACAUGAAGACAAAUGCCAGUGGUUUUGCCGGGUCCCGGGUGCCCUCUGUUUCAUUAAAGCAACAUAUUCGGGAUAUAUAUCUGUUGCCUGGAAGCUUGGAGCUGGGUGAAAUUCAUAGGGGUUUGUAAUGAUGACUCAAUUAGAACCAAAGACACAUGAGGGCUGAGGCUGGAGGAGGGCGGCGGGGGGGUGGCAGGGGCAGGGAUGGGCCACCCAGUUGCUGGAACCAUCCAGGGCUAAGUUGGAAUCCUGCCCUGCCUCUCCCCACCUGUGUGACCUCAGCCUGUGAUUUCUCACCUUUAAGGAAGGAACCUGCCUGACUUGCUAUCAGUGUUUAGAGAAUUGAAGGGGAGCUGAUUGUGGAACCUGCUAGACAUUUUCUGAAGCCUGGUACUGGGUUCAUCAUGGUGUAUAGUUAUCUCAAGGUACUGAUUCUCAAAUGAGGGUGAAUUUGCCCCCCAGCAGGCACUUGGCAGUGUCUGGAGAUAUUUUUGGUUGUCACAAUGGGAGCGGGGGUGCCAAUGGCAUCCAUCUAGUCAGUAGAGGGCAGGAAAGCUGGUAACAUCCCACAGUGCCCAGAACAGCCGCAUGCAACAGAGAAUGAUCCUGCCCCAAAUGUCAGUAGUGCUGAGGUUAAGAAACCUAUUUCUUGGUUUGGAAGUGGGGGCAGGGUCUCACUGCAUUGCCCAGAUUGGAGUGCAGUGGCACAAUCAUAACCCACUGCAGCCUUGACCUCCUG